rnacentral:rRNA from 1 species
AUUGAACGCUGGCGGCAUGCCUUACACAUGCAAGUCGAACGGUAACGGGCCUUCGGGUGCCGACGAGUGGCGAACGGGUGAGUAAUACAUCGGAACGUGCCCGAUCGUGGGGGAUAACGAGGCGAAAGCUUUGCUAAUACCGCAUACGAUCUACGGAUGAAAGCAGGGGACCGCAAGGCCUUGCGCGGACGGAGCGGCCGAUGGCAGAUUAGGUAGUUGGUGGGAUAAAAGCUUACCAAGCCGACGAUCUGUAACUGGUCUGAGAGGAUGAUCAGCCACACUGGGACCGAGACACGGCCCAGACUCCUACGGGAGGCAGCAGUGGGGAAUUUUGGACAAUGGGCGCAAGCCUGAUCCAGCCAUGCCGCGUGCAGGAUGAAGGCCUUCGGGUUGUAAACUGCUUUUGUACGGAACGAAAAGCCUUCUUUUAAUACAGGAGGGUCAUGACGGUACCGUAAGAAUAAGCACCGGCUAACUACGUG